rnacentral:sRNA from 12 species
UGCCUAAACCCUUUAUAGGAUAUGGCAGAAAAAACCUUGUGAGAAGUAAGCUCCUUAUCAGAGCAUCUCACAAGGUUAUCAUCCGAAAGGGUGGUAGGUGGUGAAAGCCAUC